ensembl:Mt_tRNA
GUUAAGAUGGCAGAGCCUGGCCAUCGCAAAAGAUCUAAGCCCUUUUCACAGAGGUUCAAAUCCUCUUCUUAACU